UACGGAAGGCAGCAGUGGGGAAUAUUGCACAAUGGGCGAAAGCCUGAUGCAGCUAUGCCGCGUGUAUGAAGAAGGCCUUAGGGUUGUAAAGUACUUUCAUCGGGGAGGAAAAACAAAACUAAUAAUUUUAUUUCUUGACGUUACCCGAAAAAGAAGCACCGGCUAACUCCGUGCCAGCAGCCGCGGUAAUACGGAGGGUGCUAGCGUUAAUCAGAAUUACUGGGCGUAAAGAGCACGUAGGUGGUUUUUUUAAGUCAGAUGUGAAAUCCCUGGGCUUAACCUGGAACUGCAUUUUGAAACUGAAAUACUAGAGUAUCGUAGAGGGAGGUAGAAUUCUAGGUGUAGCGGUGAAAUGCGUAGAUAUCUGGAGGAAUACCUGUGGCGAAAGCGGCCUCCUAAACCGAUACUGACAUUGAGGUGCGAAAGCGUGGGGAGCAAACGAGGGAUUAGAUACC
rnacentral:rRNA from 1 species